GAUGAACGCUGGCGGCGUGCCUAAUACAUGCAAGUCGAGCGAACAGACGAGGAGCUUGCUCCUCUGACGUUAGCGGCGGACGGGUGAGUAACACGUGGAUAACCUACCUAUAAGACUGGGAUAACUUCGGGAAACCGGAGCUAAUACCGGAUAAUAUAUUGAACCGCAUUGUUCAAUAGUGAAAGACGGUUUUGCUGUCACUUAUAGAUGGAUCCGCGCCGCAUUAGCUAGUUGGUAAGGUAACGGCUUACCGAGGCAACGAUGCGUAGCCGACCUGAGAGGGUGAUCGGCAACACUGGAACUGAGACACGGACCAGACUCCUACGGGAGGCAGCAGUAGGGAAUCUUCCGCAAUAGGCGAGAGCCUGACGGAGCAACGCCGCGUGAGUGAUGAGGGUCUUCGGAUCGUAAAACUCUGUUAUUAGGGAAGAACAAAUGUGUAAGUAACUAUGCACGUCUUGACGGUACCUAAUCAGAGAGCCACGGCUAACUACGUG
rnacentral:rRNA from 1 species